rnacentral:rRNA from 1 species
UGAACUUAAGCCCCAGUAAACGGCGGCCGUAACUAUAACGGUCCUAAGGUAGCGAAAUUCCUUGUCGGGUAAGUUCCGACCCGCACGAAAGGCGUAACGAUUUGGGCACUGUCUCAACAACAGACUCGGUGAAAUUGUAAUUCCGGUGAAGAUGCCGGAUACCUGCGACAGGACGGAAAGACCCCAUGGAGCUUUACUGUAGCUUGACAUUGGGUCUUGGUACUACAUGUACAGGAUAGGUGGGAGGCUUUGAAACCAGGACGCCAGUUUUGGCGGAGCCAUCCUUGGGAUACCACCCUUGUAGUACUGGGACUCUAACCAUAGGCCAUGAAUCUGGUCUUGGGACACUGUCAGGUGGGCAGUUUGACUGGGGCGGUCGCCUCCCAAAAGGUAACGGAGGCGCUCAAAGGUUCUCUCAGUACGGUCGGAAAUCGUACGUAGAGUGUAAAGGCAAAAGAGAGCUUGAUUGCAAGACAUACAGGUCGAGCAAGGAUGAAAAUCGGACUUAGUGAUCCGGUGGUUCUGCGUGGAAGGGCCAUCGCUCAACGGAUAAAAGCUACCCUGGGGAUAACAGGCUUAUCUCCCCCAAGAGUCCACAUCGACGGGGAGGUUUGGCACCUCGAUGUCGGCUCAUCACAUCCUGGGGCUGUAGUAGGUCCCAAGGGUUGGGCUGUUCGCCCAUUAAAGUGGUACGCGAGCUGGGUUCAGAACGUCGUGAGACAGUUCGGUCCCUAUCCGUCGCAGGCGUAGGAAAUUUGAGAAGACCUGUCCUUAGUACGAGAGGACCGGGAUGGACG